AUGAACGCUAGCGACAGGCCUAACACAUGCAAGUCAGGGGCAGCACAAGGAGCAAUCUGAGGUGGCGACCGGCGCACGGGUGAGUAACACGUAUGCAACCUGCCUGUAAGCGGGGAAUAACCCGUUGAAAGACGGACUAAUACCGCAUAAUACUAAAUUACUGCAUGGUAAUUUAUUUAAACAUUUAUGGCUUACAGAUGGGCAUGCGCAUGAUUAGCUAGUUGGAGAGGUAACGGCUCCCCAAGGCAACGAUCAUUAGGGGUUCUGAGAGGAAGGUCCCCCACACUGGUACUGAGACACGGACCAGACUCCUACGGGAGGCAGCAGUGAGGAAUAUUGGUCAAUGGACGAGAGUCUGAACCAGCCAAGUCGCGUGCAGGAAGAAUGUCCUAAUGGAUUGUAAACUGCUUUUGCAGGGGAAUAAAGUGCAUCACGUGUGAUGUUUUGUAUGUACUCUGCGAAUAAGGAUCGGCUAACUCCGUGCCAGCCGCUGC
rnacentral:rRNA from 1 species